GACGAACCGUGCUAACGUUGUUCGGAUUCACUGGGCUUAAAGGGCGCGUAGGCGGGCCGCCAAGUCGAGGGUGAAAGCCCCCAGCUCAACUGGGGAAGGGCCCCCGAAACUGGUGGUCUUGAGGGAGGUAGGGGCACGUGGAACUUCCGGUGGAGCGGUGAAAUGCGUAGAGAUCGGAAGGAACGCCGGUGGCGAAAGCGACGUGCUGGAUCUUUUCUGACGCUGAGGCGCGAAAGCCAGGGGAGCAAACAGG
rnacentral:rRNA from 1 species